AUGCGAGUCGAGAGGGUUUAGACCCUCGGCAAACGGCUCAGUAACACGUGGAUAAUCUGCCCUCAGGACAGGGAUAACCCCGGAAAACUGGGGAUAAUACCCGAUAGGUGGAGAAGUCUGGAACGGCUCUCCGCUCAAAUGCUCCGGCGCCUGAGGAUGAGUCUGCGACCGAUUAGGUUGUUGGCGGUGUAACGGACCACCAAGCCUAAGAUCGGUACGGGUGUUGAGAGACAGAGCCCGGAGAUGGGGACUGAGACACGGCCCCAGGCCCUACGGGGCGCAGCAGGCGCGAAAACUCCGCAAUACACGAAAGUGUGGCGGGGGAACCCCAAGUGCAUUCACAUUAGUGAGUGCUUUUGUGAAGUGUAAAUAGCUUCACGAAUAAAAGCGGGGUAAGACCGGUGCCAGCCGCCGCGGUAACACCGGCCGCUUGAGUGGUGAUCACUAUUAUUGGGCCUAAAGCGUCCGUAGCCGGUUUGGUAAGUCCUUGGGCAAAUCCUGUCGCUUAACGGCAGGAAUUCUAGGGAUACUGCUAGACUUGAGGUCGAGAGAGGUCGGAGGUACUCCUGGGGUAGCGGUGAAAUGCUAUAAUCCUGGGGGGACCACCAGUGGCGAAAGCGUCCGACCAGAGCGAGCCUGACGGUAAGGGACGAAAGCCAGGGUAGCGAACGGGAUUAGAUACCCCGGUAGUCCUGGCCGUAAACGCUGUGGGCUAGGUGUUGCAUGCUCUACGAGGGCAUGCA
rnacentral:rRNA from 1 species